GCCGGCGUGGCGGAAUUGGCAGACGCACGCGACUCAAAAUCGCGCGGAGCUUUGCUCCUUGUGGGUUCAAGUCCCUCCGCCGGCACCC
rnacentral:tRNA from 1 species